CCAGUGAAAGGGAAAGUGUUCAGACUCGUUCUAACAACAAGGAGCAGACGUGAAGUCUGAGGCUGCAGUGGUCACCAACCAGUGGAGAGUCUUCACUGUGGAUCCCAGUAAAGCUCUGGACUCACUGGCUGAGGUGUGAGGAGCAUCGACCUGCAGAGCCAGACUGAAGAUGAGUGGUUAUGAGGAGGAAGAGGACAGAGCCGAGUCUCCAGGGUUCAGCUGUGUGUCUCUGAAGAGUAACUGGUCCAAAGAUGAUCCUCCAACCUUCAGUAAUGAACCUGGACCCUCACACACAAAAGGUCAGGACCAGAGACUGAGAGCAGAGUCUCCAGGGUCCAGCUGUCUGUCUCUGAAGAGUGACUGGUCCAUGUUUGAUCCUCCACUCUUCAGUAA